ensembl:lncRNA
AGAAGCCAGGAGCUCAGCACCAUGGCUUGAACUAGGAGCGGGGUGGGGAUUUUACAAGCUGGGAAGACUUUCAAAGAGACCCGGCUUAUCUUUUGGCACAGAGGGUAGAGGUUUGACUGAUAAAGGGAACUCAGGGUAGGGACUGGAGACCGGACAAACACAGGAGUCUAGCGGGCCAUCUAUCCUGGGGCUGAGAACGUUGUGUUGAUUUCCUUUGCCCUCCGCUGCUGGAGACGAGUGGGCGCCCCUGGCUGAGUGGACAAGGUGCCAUGUGAGUACAUCUGGAUCCGUCGAGCUUUGGAUGGAGGUGACGUGGAGGAAGAUGAAGAUGAUGCUGAAGUCGCGGCCCUCCGCUCUGGUCACUCUCCUUCCUCCUGAAGCCGGUUUCCAGUCGGGUCUGCUCGCUGGGCUGGCACGGGAGUCAGGAGUCGGGUGUGGCUUAGCAGAGUCCUCUGCCGAGGUCUUAUCAGGCCGCAGACUUCCAUGGAAAGGAGCCAUAUCCAAAGUCAUCAGAUCGUUGGUGGAUUUCCUCUCCUCGCACCUGUUGAC